GUUUUGGAUAGCCCAGUUGGUAGAGGCAAUUGGUCAAAAACCAAUAGGUCGCGGGUUCGACUCCCGCUCCAAGACA
rnacentral:tRNA from 1 species